rnacentral:lncRNA from 1 species
AUGCCAGGGAAAGGAGUCUGGAGUCUGGGCCAAAGCCAGGGAGCGAGCUGGACUCAGAGGCUCUGCUGGAGGCGUCGCUCUGACAAAGGCCAGUGCUGGGUGCAGCUCCAGCACUGGAGAGAGAGCAGGUGGACAAAGGGAGCCUCAGCUGGUGGGACCUGGAGACAGGGGCCUUUGCUGUGGAGAUGGCUCUGGGCCCAUUGCAAGGUGAUUGCUCCUCCUUUGCCUUCGAGAGCCACUGGGACCCUGGAGGCAGAAAUGAGUCCACAGUCAGCCCCCAGCAAUUCGUCAGAAUCACCCCGUAUGCUUCCUAUCAGCGGAUGGCGCUAGCAGCUUCUGCUUCAGGUAAGCUGACCUUGGCUAUGACCUAUAACCUUGGCUGUGUCUCCCCAGAUUGUGUGUGUGUGCUGGGGGGAGGGUGCUCUGCGAUUUUUGGCUCCCCGUAUGUCCAAGAAAAGCCACCGAUUUUCACUUCCUCCAGCCUUUUCUCCUUGUAAGGUGGGAGGGAUGACUUCCAAGCCCACCAUGUGUCAGCUGAAAGCCACAAGCCUGGAGAUGUCUCAUUGACUGUCUCCUGGAUUUAGUUCUGAGCAUUGGAUGUGUUUUGGUCUUGAUGUGAUUAUGAACCGUAUCUGUUUGUUGCUUUGUUUGAUGUAGUAUUGGGGAUUGAAUCCAGGGCCUUCAGAUUGAGCUACAUCCCCCCUACAUCUCUUUCAAUGUGUUCCAUUUUAAGACUAAGUCUUGAAAAGUCCCGAACUUGCCCAGGUAGUGUAUCUGUGACCCUCCUGCCCAGCCCCCAGUGGUGGGCCCACAGUGGUACGCCACCACACCCAGCUCGUAUCUUUUAAAAAUAAUUUUAUUUUCUUUUGGUUUUUCUCCUUGGCCUUGGUCACCACCCACCAAGCACAUUCAUUUCUUUGUGUGCUUUCUGUCUUGUCCCCUUCGAGACAGUAGGAUGGAGAAGUGAGGAGCCCACAGGUCACAGAGCAGCAGUCACUCGCCCGUAGCUGCCCGCUGAAUGAAGGCAGAGUGGCGGUCAGAUUCCAAGGCCACACUCAGCCUUCACCAACAAACAUUCCGAUCACCAGGCUCAGGGGUGUGGAUCCCACCAGGUGUCAUGAGAAUCCAAAUCAUUGGUGUCGGGGUUCCAGAGAGGACACGUCUGAGAAGUCAAAGGGUCUCCCUGUGAGCCUGUGCCAGGGCCACGGGCCUCAGCGCUUCCUGUUGUGCAGGCAGGCACUGGGAAUCCCGGACCAGAGCUGGCAAUCAGCAGGGUUCAGUGUGGUUUGCAGCUUUGACUUUGAGUGUUAACCUUAGCCUGGGAAAAUUGCUUAACUUCUUUGAGCCUUUGUUUCCUCAUCUGGAAGGUGGUGGUUACCACAUGGGCCUCGUAGGGGUUCGGUGUAAAGGAAAGGAAAUGAUGGAGACAGUGCUCAGCCUUGGGCUAAUUCUCAUGAAUUAUAGCUAUUAUUAUUAUAUUAUUGUUAUUAUUAUUUUGCAGUACUGAGGAUUGAACCCAGGGCCUUUGCAUUGAGCUGCCUCCCCAGCCCAGUUAUUAUUAUUUGUUUUUUAAAUCUGAAGACAAUCUCAUUGUUGCUCAGUUGCCCAGGCUGGGCUUGAACUUGUGAUCGUCCUCAGCCUCUCAGAGUGCUGGAAUUGUGGGCCUGGCACCAUCAAAUCUGGCUCUAUGGUUUUAUUACAUUAUUAUACUAAUUUUCAGUCCCUGUGUGACUCUGUUUCCCUCUACCACCAACCCUCUCCACUGACUGCAGAACAGUGCUGGACUGGGUCCUCUCGGGCUCACAUCUGCCCUUGACCUGGUAUCUCCGUGGCCAGUUUUUAGGUUUUUUUCUCAGACUGAGUUUCUCUUUCAGCCUCAUCCCUGUAUCACAGGGUAGCGCUAUUCCUGUAAGACUUGAGGACGUGCUGUGUGACUUGCUCCCUGGUCACAGCAAGUCCUCAGGACCUCUGAUCUUGAAGGAGCCCUUUGCACCCAAGAAUCCUGGCUUCCAGAGGUGGGCUGGCUUGCUUUUGAUUGAAAAUCAGCAGCCUAGUUUACCAUAACUUAAUGUAGACACGAGUCCAGUUUGUCAGAUGAAUGAACAGCCGGGCGUCGGGGGAGCGCAAUUAAAUGCUCUCACGUUUGCACUGGGAACAGAUGUGCACUUCCCGGAUCUUCCAUGCUGUAGUCUGAAAGUGCAGACUGGCUGUCUGUUACCCGUUUUGCAUAAUGAGAAGGAACAGGGGCAGGAAACACCCACUAGAGCCUUCUAAGUCACCUUCAGAAAACAGAGUGGCUAAAGAGAGUGACCGUGUCGCUGGGCAAGGGCGGCAUUUCUGGCAGAGUUGUCGCUCCGGGCCGGCCGUGUCUGCAGACACGUCCCGCGCCCUGAUGCCAGGCUGGCCACCUGGGGCCUGUGAACCCCCAGGCAGUGGGCCUGGUCCCAGCAACUCAGAUGAUUGCAGAUGCCCCCUUUCUUCCCAGCUGCCAGCUGAUGACAUGAGACUUUGGGCUGGGGAGAGGCGGGGAGUUGGGGUGCCACUGAGAAGGUAUUAAAACAGCUCUGAGAGGCACCAUCUGUGACCGUGUCCAGAUAAAGCCUCUGGCCUGGUGUCUGGUGGGGGGUGGGGUGCCUCUCAGGCUCAGGUCAGAACUGCUCUGAAGAGACGCAGUCGCCUUGCACAGAGACAAUGCUGUGACAGGAGCCCCUGGGCUCCACCAGGACAGGCUGGGGCAAAAGGCUGGAGAUGUCUGUGACAUAUAAGUCCCUACAUAUAAGUCCCAAUUCCCAGCACGUCAGCGUGUGACUUUAUAUGGUGCCAUCAAGACAUAUAGUGCACGGUUAAAUUGUAAAAUAUAUUACUGUAUAGUAAAAGACCAUUGCUGUGCAUCCUCCUCAAAGUAUUCCCCCUUGCUUCAAACACAUGCGUCCCAUUCUGAAGCAGCUCUGGAAGUCCUCUUUCCUGAGUGUCUUUAGGAGUUACGCUCAAAAAAUCCAGUGAAUACUGCUGCUGAGUGCCAUCCAAUGGACCACCUUAUUCCCUGGAUCUGUCACCAUGCAACUUUGGCUCUUUCCCAAAGUUAGAGUGACCAAGAAAGGGAAACAUUUUGAAUCGAUUCAGGACAGUAAAGCAGCCAGAACAGCACAACUAGAGACACUUAGGAAAGAGGACUUCCAGAACUGCUGCAGAAAGUGUCAAGAACAAUAGGAUAAAAUGUGUUUGAAAGGAGGGAGAUUAAUGGCAAUGUGUCUUUUACUAUGAUAUAUUUAAAAAAAAUUCAAACAUUACUUUUGGAUCACACCUCAUUUUUAGAGACAGGCUGAUCACAGGGCUGCGGUUUGUGGAGUAGGCCCCAUCUGAUAUGGCUGGUGACCUCCUUUAAAGGAGAUGUUUGGACACUGACACACAUACACAAUAAGGACCCUGAGUGAACAUGGAGUUCCUUGAGCCAAGGAACUGCCAGUGAGACAGGAGAUUAGGGUGUGGCACAAGUGGCUGGGGAGGUAGAUGUGACCUGUUAAUUACAAAAUCCCAGGACACAGGGGCAGAACAGUUUCCAAAGCCUGACUUGUGGACUUCUUGCAAAAACUUGAGCAGGUUUUCGAAAGGAUGGCCUAGACCUGACGUCAGACUGAGGAAUGGGUGACACAAAAGGAUGAGCCACACUGAGUUUUUGGCCAUUGUGUUCAUGCUUGCGUGGUGGCCCACCCUCACCCUGUAGGGUUCACUUCUUUCCCUACUUUUACUUGGCCCAAACUUACUCUGCAGAGCCUGUUUCUUUUCCUACCUUUAAUAAAACUUUGCUACCAUUUGUGCUUGUCUUGACCAAUUCUUUGCUCCACACAGAAUCAACCUAGAAACCCCGUCUAGAAGGAGACUCUAGCACCCCCAAAUCCAAAAGCACCAGGAUCUGGGG